rnacentral:misc_RNA from 1 species
AACGCACCUUGCGCUCCUUGGUAUUCCGAGGAGCAUGCCUGUUUGAGUGUCAUGGUAUUCUCAAUUCCCUCAACCUUUGUUGGAUGGGGUGAUAUUGGACUUGGAGGCUUUUGCUGGCAUCUUAGUGAAGUCAGCUCCUCUUAAAUGCAUCAGUGUGAGUCCCACUUCAUGCUCAGUGUGAUAAUUAUCUGCACUGUUUUUGGGUGUGGCAACUUCAUGCUUCCAACUGUCGCAAGACAAACCUUUUGACAUCUGACCUCAAAUCAGGUAGGACUACCCGCUGAACUUAA